CACGAACGCUGGCGGCAGGCUUAACACAUGCAAGUCGAGCGCCCCGCAAGGGGAGCGGCAGACGGGUGAGUAACGCGUGGGAAUCUACCCAUCUCUACGGAAUAACGCAUGGAAACGUGUGCUAAUACCGUAUACGUCCUUCGGGAGAAAGAUUUAUCGGAGAUGGAUGAGCCCGCGUUGGAUUAGCUAGUUGGUGGGGUAAAGGCCUACCAAGGCGACGAUCCAUAGCUGGUCUGAGAGGAUGAUCAGCCACACUGGGACUGAGACACGGCCCAGACUCCUACGGGAGGCAGCAGUGGGGAAUAUUGGACAAUGGGCGCAAGCCUGAUCCAGCCAUGCCGCGUGAGUGAUGGAGGCCCUAGGGUCGUAAAGCUCUUUCACCGGUGAAGAUAAUGACGGUAACCGGAGAAGAAGCCCCGGCUAACUUCGUACCAGCAGCCGCAGUAAUAC
rnacentral:rRNA from 1 species